rnacentral:rRNA from 1 species
AGGACGAACGCUGGCGGCGUGCCUAACACAUGCAAGUCGAACGGGGAUUUGUUUCGGCAGAAUCCUAGUGGCGAACGGGUGAGUAACGCGUAGGCAACCUGCCCUCCGGCCGGGGACAACACUCCGAAAGGGGUGCUAAUACCGGAUACGAAGUCUGUGCCGCAUGGUACGGAUUUGAAAGAUGGCCUCUAUUUAUAAGCUAUCGCCGGGGGAUGGGCCUGCGUCCGAUUAGCUGGUUGGUGGGGUAACGGCCUACCAAGGCGACGAUCGGUAGCCGGUCUGAGAGGAUGAACGGCCACAUUGGGACUGAGACACGGCCCAGACUCCUACGGGAGGCAGCAGUGGGGAAUCUUCCGCAAUGGGCGCAAGCCUGACGGAGCAACGCCGCGUUGAGUGAGGAAGUUCUUCGGAACGUAAAGCUCUGUUGUUCCUGACGAACCUCCCCUCUAUCAACAACGGAGGGGACUGACGGUAGGGAACGAGGAAGCCACGGCUAACUACGUGCCAGCAGCAGC